UAGGGAAUCUUCGGCAAUGGACGAAAGUCUGACCGAGCAACGCCGCGUGAGUGAAGAAGGUUUUCGGAUCGUAAAACUCUGUUGUUAGAGAAGAACAAGGACGUUAGUAACUGAACGUCCCCUGACGGUAUCUAACCAGAAAGCCACGGCUAACUACGUGCCAGCAGCCGCGGUAAUACGUAGGUGGCAAGCGUUGUCCGGAUUUAUUGGGCGUAAAGCGAGCGCAGGCGGUUUCUUAAGUCUGAUGUGAAAGCCCCCGGCUCAACCGGGGAGGGUCAUUGGAAACUGGGAGACUUGAGUGCAGAAGAGGAGAGUGGAAUUCCAUGUGGAGCGGUGAAAUGCGUAGAUAUAUGGAGGAACACCAGUGGCGAAGGCGGCUCUCUGGUCUGUAACGGACGCUGAGGCUCGAAAGCGUGGGGAGCAAACAGG
rnacentral:rRNA from 1 species